ensembl:lncRNA
GACGUGUUGGGCUUCUCUUAACCAAUAAUUUUCCAGGACCGGUGUACUGAGCCAAUCAGAAUUUAGCUUGGACCGCUGCCUCUAUGGCCCCACCCCUAGCGCCGCCUAUGCUAAUCGGUAGUGUUGCAGUGUGCGAAGAGCAAUAUAAUUAUUAACCAGCAGUUAUUAACCACCCAUCAUAAUUCCAGACGAUGACUGAGGUACAUCAACCAACAUGUAUCCAGUUAACUCCCACUAGUGUUGCAUUCAACUCCCUGGCUGUUCCAGACAAAAUCAUUCGGAGCUCGAGGCCAUCGUGACGCCCAAGUUUUGCUAAUUAAUAACGGCGGGCACGCGCUUCCUCUUUUAAAACACUCCAUAUUCAUCAAACAUUUAAACGAAGAAUCCUGUUCACCCUGCAGCCUUGUGACUGCUAUCCAGAUGGACUCAUUACAACCAUUCCUCCACAGCUGCAAGGCUAGGCUUGUGCAGAUCAGAGGAAUGGCCUGA